GGGAAUUGGAAAAACAUUGAUAUCCCCAUUUUGAUUCACUUAUUUGCUAUACUCCAAGCACCAACUUCAGUGUUUUGGAAUCUGUAUCUGCAGCGUUUUGCUUUGAAAUGCUGCACAUGCAAAGCUUAACCCCUUCCCUGGUGGAUGUAUAACUCCGGCAGUGUCAAACAAAAUUCUGGACUGUCAAUUCUGUGCAAAAUUUGGCAUCUGACACCAACACGCACAGCAUGCUAAUGUCAGCCAAUGGUGGCACACCUUCCUCCUUAACAUCCAUCCCCUGGCAAGCCUUUAUAUUUUAAUUUUGUCCAUUGGGAUAGGGUGCAAUCAAGCACAAAAGAGGUUACUCCAACCAAAAUUAGUGGAGUAACCUUUUUAAGGAUAAGCUCUCAAAAAAUAAUGCUCCCCCCCCCCCCAGAUUAGAGGCAGUGCAACACCCUUCUCUUGCAGCAAAAUAG